rnacentral:rRNA from 1 species
CCUACGGGUGGCAGCAGUGAGGAAUAUUGGUCAAUGGCCGGAAGGCUGAACCAGCCAAGCCGCGUGAAGGACGAAGGUGCCAAGCAUUGUAAACUUCUUUUGUCAAGGGACAAAAUCAGGCUCGAGAGCCUGACCGAGGGUACUUGAAGAAAAAGCAACGGCAAACUCCGUGCCAGCAGCCGCGGUAAUACGGAGGAUGCGAGCGUUAUCCGGAUUUAUUGGGUUUAAAGGAAGCGUAGGCGGACUGUUAAGUCAGCGGGAAAAGCCCGGGGUGAAACCCCGGCGAGCCGUUGAAACUGGCUGGCUCGAGAUGUCGAGAGGUGUGUGGAAUGCGCGGUGUAGCGGUGAAAUGCUUAGAUAUUGCGAGGAACUCCGGUGGCGAAGGCAGCAUACCGGCGGCGAUCUGACGCUGAGGCGCGAAAGCGUGGGUAUCGAACAGGAUUAGAUACCCGGGUAGUC